CUCUGGAUGUAUGUGAUGUUAGUGACCCAUCAAGAUAAUUGUAAAAAUCUGGCUGAGUUUCCAAAAAGGCAGAAAAUAAAGCGAGUUCUUCAAACAAUAUUCACAGAUGAAAAUCUUAUGGAUCUGCAAUGUUAAUUUCAAAGGAUACUGCCAUUUUCUCCAUUUCUACAAGAUUCUCCGUGGGGUUUGAAACGUACCGCUGGGAACGAGUCACUGGGGGUAGGGGGGGUUGAGCAGCACCUGUCCAGAGGGCAGCGAACACGCAAACUUGGGGAAGUCACAACACGUGUCCUGAUGAAACCCUAGAUGGUCCCUGCCCUGGUCUCACCAUCCUGCCCAGGGAUAGUCCCUCAGGUGCCGGUCUGGAGACUCAGCAGGAGCCAAGCUGAACUGAUGACCAGGUGCCUUAGAUACAACAUCCCAGAUGAUCCUUCUGUUUAAAAAUGAUCAAAUACACCUCUUU